CCUACGGGAGGCAGCAGUGAGGAAUAUUGGUCAAUGGACGAGAGUCUGAACCAGCCAAGUAGCGUGAAGGAUGACUGCCCUAUGGGUUGUAAACUUCUUUUAUAAAGGAAUAAAACGAGGCACGUGUGCCUUUUUGCAUGUACUUUAUGAAUAAGGAUCGGCUAACGCCGUGCCAGCAGCCGCGGUAAUACGGAGGAUCCGAGCGUUAUCCGGAUUUAUUGGGUUUAAAGGGAGCGUAGAUGGGUUGUUAAGUCAGUUGUGAAAGUUUGCGGCUCAACCGUAAAAUUGCAAUUGAUACUGGCAGUCGUGAGUACAGUUGAGGUAGGCGGAAUUCGUGGUGUAGCGGUGAAAUGCUUAGAUAUCACGAAGAACCCCGAUUGCGAAGGCAGCUUACUAAACUGUGACUGACAUUGAUGCUCGAAAGUGUGGGUAUCAAACAGGAUUAGAUACCCGGGUAGUC
rnacentral:rRNA from 1 species